rnacentral:rRNA from 1 species
CGCAGGGUGCGAGCGUUAAUCGGAAUUACUGGGCGUAAAGUGUGCGCAGGUGGCCGCGCAAGUCGAGUGUGAAAUCCCCGAGCUUAACUUGGGAAUUGCGCUCGAAACUACGUGGCUCGAGUGUGGCAGAGGAAGGUGGAAUUCCACGUGUAGCGGUGAAAUGCGUAGAGAUGUGGAGGAACACCGAUGGCGAAGGCAGCCUUCUGGGCCAACACUGACGCUCAUGCACGAAAGCGUGGGGAGCAAACAGGAUUAGAUACCCUGGUAGUCCACGCCCUAAACGAUGAUGACUAGUUGUUGGGGGAGUUAAAUCCCUUAGUAACGCAGCUAACGCGUGAAGUCAUCCGCCUGGGGAGUACGGUCGCAAGAUUA